rnacentral:rRNA from 1 species
CGCGGUAAUUCCAGCUCCAAUAGCGUAUAUUAAAGUUGCUGCAGUUAAAAAGCUCGUAGUUGGAUCUUGGGAGCGGGCGGGCGGUCCGCCGCGAGGCGAGCCACCGCCCGUCCCCGCCCCUUGCCUCUCGGCGCCCCCUCGAUGCUCUUAGCUGAGUGUCCCGCGGGGCCCGAAGCGUUUACUUUGAAAAAAUUAGAGUGUUCAAAGCAGGCCCGAGCCGCCUGGAUACCGCAGCUAGGAAUAAUGGAAUAGGACCGCGGUUCUAUUUUGUUGGUUUUCGGAACUGAGGCCAUGAUUAAGAGGGACGGCCGGGGGCAUUCGUAUUGCGCCGCUAGAGGUGAAAUUCUUGGAC